rnacentral:rRNA from 1 species
CCGACAUGUUGAGACAUCCUCUGCCCUCGCGGAGCCUCUCGGAAUUGGAAAA